rnacentral:rRNA from 1 species
UACGUAGGGUGCAAGCGUUAAUCGGAAUUACUGGGCGUAAAGCGUGCGCAGGCGGUUUUGUAAGUCUGACGUGAAAUCCCCGGGCUUAACCUGGGACCUGCAUUGGGGACUGCAUUGCUCGAGUAUGGCAGAGGGGGGUGGAAUUCCACGUGUAGCAGUGAAAUGCGUAGAGAUGUGGAGGAACACCGAUGGCGAAGGCAGCCCCCUGGGCCAAUACUGACGCUCAUGCACGAAAGCGUGGGGAGCAAACAGG